rnacentral:rRNA from 1 species
UACGUAGGGUGCGAGCGUUAAUCGGAAUUACUGGGCGUAAAGCGUGCGCAGGCGGUGAUGUAAGCCAGAUGUGAAAUCCCCGGGCUUAACCUGGGAAUGGCAUUUGGGACUGCAAGGCUCGAGUGCGGCAGAGGAGACUGGAAUUCCUGGUGUAGCAGUGAAAUGCGUAGAUAUCAGGAGGAACACCGAUGGCGAAGGCAGGUCUCUGGGCUGACACUGACGCUCAUGCACGAAAGCGUGGGGAGCAAACAGG